GGGGUUGUAGCUCAGUGGUAGAGUGCAUGCCUCGUACAUGUGAGGCACUGGGUUCGAUCCUCAACACCA
rnacentral:tRNA from 1 species